CCAGACUCCUACGGGAGGCAGCAGUGGGGAAUAUUGGACAAUGGGGGGAACCCUGAUCCAGCGACGCCGCGUGAGUGAAGAAGUAUCUCGGUAUGUAAAGCUCUAUCAGCAGGGAAGAAAGAAAUGACGGUACCUGACUAAGAAGCCCCGGCUAACUACGUGCCAGCAGCCGCGGUAAUACGUAGGGGGCAAGCGUUAUCCGGAUUUACUGGGUGUAAAGGGAGCGUAGACGGCUGUGCAAGCCAGAUGUGAAAGCCCGGGGCUCAACCCCGGGACUGCAUUUGGAACUGCGUGGCUGGAGUGCAGGAGGGGCAGGCGGAAUUCCUGGUGUAGCGGUGAAAUGCGUAGAUAUCAGGAGGAACACCGGUGGCGAAGGCGGCCUGCUGGACUGCAACUGACGUUGAGGCCCGAAAGCGUGGGGAGCAAACAGGAUUAGAUACCCGCGUA
rnacentral:rRNA from 1 species